UACGUAGGGUGCAAGCGUUGUCCGGAAUUAUUGGGCGUAAAGAGCUCGUAGGCGGUUUGUCGCGUCUGCUGUGAAAACUCGGGGCUUAACUCCGGGCCUGCAGUGGGUACGGGCAGACUAGAGUGCGGUAGGGGAGACUGGAAUUCCUGGUGUAGCGGUGAAAUGCGCAGAUAUCAGGAGGAACACCGGUGGCGAAAGCGGCGCGCUGGAUCUCUUCUGACGCUGAGGCGCGAAAGCCAGGGGAGCGAACGGG
rnacentral:rRNA from 1 species